AUGUACCCCCGGACACUCCGGUUCCUCCGCGCCGUCCGCACCCACCUGACGGCUGCGCGCUAUGUUUUGUUAGCC
rnacentral:sRNA from 1 species